CCCGACGAGCUCGAGCGCGCCGCGACAACAAUUCUUCUUCCUCAAAGCAUAUAUUUUCUCCAAGCGAUCAACAAAGUGUUUGGUCCAUUUGGAAGGUACUUGAUGCCUCUUGGUCAGAAGAUGAUGGCGAGUUCCUUAUUCCAAUUGAGUUUAUAUUGUGUAGGUUUCUUCGUCAU